rnacentral:rRNA from 1 species
UACGUAGGGUGCAGGCGUUAAUCGGAAUUACUGGGCGUAAAGCGUGCGCAGGCGGUUUCUUAAGUCAGAUGUGAAAGCCCCGGGCUUAACCUGGGAACUGCGUUUGAAACUGGGAGACUUGAGUGUGGCAGAGGGGGAUGGAAUUCCGGCGUGGUAGCAGUGAAAUGCGUAGAUAUGCGGAGGAACACCGAUGGCGGAAGGCAAUCCCCUGGGCCUGCACUGACGCUCCAUGCACGAAAGCGUGGGAGCAAACAGG